UACGGCUUAAGUUGAGCAAGAUUUAUUUUAGUGAAUUUUUUUUUGUAUGUAUGACUGUCAGUGAUAAGUAGGGUUAUAAACGAAUUUAUUUUAGUGAACCUUUUUCAUGUUUAAGUUAGGGUUUUAUUGAUGGAAGAUUAAGAAGAAGAAGGUGGGUGUACUAAGAGUCCUUGGGACGUACUCUAAGGUUUUAAAUGAGAGUAAAUGGUGAUAUUUAAGCAUUAUACAUUGCUGAUUUGAUAUUUUCUUCCAAGUUGCUGGUGAAAUUAGAUUUUCCUAGGUUAAAAGUAGUUAAGCAACACACGCAUGUCCAAUCAACUGCACAUACAUGUCUAAUCAGCUUAAAAGCAUAAAACUUCUAACAAAAAUUUUAGAAAAUUCAUUAAAAGUAAUAGGACACCAAAAUCAAGGCAAAACUAAGUCCAAAAGUUAAGUUACAGUUGUGAAACGUAAAAUACACUCUAAAACAUAUAUUAUAGGGCCAUGCUAACCGCAACCGACUCAUUUGUGAAUGGUGAUUAAAGGUGAACCAAGGGGGUUAAAAGAAAUUAAAGUUCAAUUACUGCGUUUACAACAUUUGAGUGCACUUACAAAAUUUAUGUACUUUUUCAUUUAUUUCUAUAUAUUUGACUGUGUUUCCUCUGGGCUGAUGCUAAUUAUUUAGUCAUAUUAAAAGUUAUUUUGUCGUUAAUUAGUCAAUUUUUAAGUCCAGGAAUAAAUUGUAAAAAUGAAUAUAAUAUUUCAAUUUGUCAGUAUUAAGUUUUCAUAUUAUCCCACUAUACCUUAAAUGCCCUUAGCUCAAAUGAACUAACCCAAAUUUUGGUGGAGGGUUGUUCCUCUCUUCCAAAGACUUGUAACUCAAGGAAAUCUCAAGCAGAGCCUAAAGACGUAGGACCUUUAUCAUGCUUCCUGGCUGACUGAAAGGUAAUUUUAUAUUUAUUUGGUUGGUUUUUGUUUCCUCCCAACCACCCCCCCCACAUAUAUAUCCUAGUAAUUACCUGUGUUUACACACGGGCACUACAAAAAAAAAAAUAAUUUUUUUUUAUCCAAUUUUGAUGAUUCUUCUAGAAGAAUAAAAAUAAAAAUAAAUAAAUAAAAAACAAUAACAAAAAGGUAGCUCUCAGUAAGUAACUUUCUCAGAAAAAACAACUAAUCUUAAACUAACUAAUCUAAUAUAAAACACAUAAGAGAACUUGUAUUUUCCACCCCUGAACAUCCCAAACCCCUCGAUUGUGACUUUUUUGGGACUUUUAAUUUGUACCUUCAAUCUCCUCAAAUUACAAUUGUGACAUUUCAACCAUUUUAUUUUUUAAUACCCUUUAUUUUUUUUAUUUUACUUUUAUACAUGAAUUUUUAUUACAAAAAAAAUUAUGAUUAAACUUUAUAACUUCUUUAUUUUUUUUCUUUUAAUACCCCAGUGAUUUUUGUUUUUUCUUUUACUUCAUUUUUAAAUUUUUAUAACCCUUUAGUUUAUAAUUUUUUUUACUCUCACCUUAUGUGUUUUUUAUAAUAAAAAAAACUAUGGAUUAAAAAUAAAAUUUUUAUAUAUUUUUAAAAAUUUGAUGGGGUUGAUAGUUAUAUGUUUUUGUUAUUUGAGGACUAUCUAGAAAAUUAAUAAGGUAUUUUUAGUAGUUUGAUUUACAUAAAAACACAUUAGAAAAUUAAUAAUUUUUAAGUAUCAAUACAGUAAGUAGUAAAUUCAAACAUUGCAUUAAAUUCAGAACAUAAUUUUCAUUAAUAUCUCAUUCCAAAAGAAAAUAAUUUUUUUAUAAUUUUUUUUAUAUAAAAAUUCAGAAUGAAAGUAAAAAAAUAAAGUAAAAGAAAUAAGGGGUAUUUAAUAGAAAAAGGAAAAAUAAAGGGGUUAUAAAAUUUUAUAUAAAAAAUUCGAAAGUGAAAAUAAAAAAAAUAAAAUAAAGGGAUAUUACAAAAAGUAUUAAAAUCAUUGAAUAUGAAAGUGAUUCGGAGGAGAGAGGGGAGAAGAGAGAGUGAGAGUUAUGAUGGAGAGAGAAGGAAAAGUGAUGGGCUGAGAGCGCGUGUGAAGUAAUAUGUUUGGGCGGGGAAAAAAAAUACAUUUGAGGUUGAAAUGUAAGCGUUAGAUCAACUCAAAUUGAUUGCAGCCGCGUAGAUUAGCGAGGAGAUAGAUUUGGAUUCAAACGUAGUUUGUGGAUUUGUAUUUUAUACUAGUAUUGCCCGUGCCACGGGGCACUAUGCAAAAAAAAAUUAAAAAUCUCUUUUUAUCAAUUUUGAUGAUUGUUCAUCACAGAAGACACCAAAAUAAAAAUAAAAAGAAAAGAAAAUAAAAAACAAGCACAAAUAAGGUAAGGGGCAGGAACUUCGCAGAACACUUUAAAAAAAGUAAGUCUAAACUAAUUAAUAUAAUCUAAAACUAAAUAUAAGAAAGCUUUAUUGUUUUUUUGUGUGUUGUUUCCUUAUCCUGUAUCUCACCCCAUCGAUGUGACAUUUUUUUUUUGUACUUUUAAUUUUUACCUAAAUUCUUUCUCAAAUUAUUAAUGUGCCAUUAAACCAUUUUAUUAUUUUUUUAAUACCCUUUAUUUUUUUUUAAUACCAUUUUAUUUCUUUUUUUUUUUUACUUUCACUUCUUCAUUUUAUAUAUAAAAAUUAUGAUUAAAUUUUUGAAUCCUUUAUUUUUUUUCUUUUAAGAACCCCUUAUUCUUGUUUUUUUUUUUUUUACUUUCACUUCUAAUUUUAUUAAAAAAAUUAUAAUAAAAUUUUAUAAUUUUUUUACUCCCACCUUAUGUUUUUUAUAAAAGAAAAAAAAUAUGGAUCAAAAUUUUUAAUACUUUUUAAAACAAUUGAUAGUUGAUAGUUAUCUGUUAUUUGUUUUUGAGACUAGCCUUGAAAGUAAAAUGUUUUUUUUAGUUUUUUAGUAGUUUGAUUUAUUAUAAAAUAUAUAAGAAAAAUAUAACUUUAACGUUUCAGUAUUAAAUUCAAUAUUACCACAAUAAGAAUAUAUUUCUCAUUAAUAUCUCCUCCCAAAAGAAAAUUAUAAUUUUUUUUUUAAAUUUUUUUUAAUAUAAAAUUCAAAAGAAAAUAAAAAAAAUAAAAGAAUUAUGGGUAUUAAAAGAAUAAGAAAUAAGGGUUAUAAAAUUUUAAUAAAAAAAUAUAUAAAAAAAUUUAAAAGUGAAAGUAAAAGAAUAAAGAGAUAUUAAAAAAUAUAAAGGGGUUGAAUUGAAAGUGAUGGGAAGAGAGAGAAGAGAGUUAUGAUGGAGAGAGCAGUGAAAGUGAUGGGAGGAAAGAGAGUGAAAGUGUAUUUUGGGCGAGAAAAAAUAAUUGAGGUAAAACUUGAGCCGUUAGAUCAACUCAAAUUGUGUUUCGCCGUAGAUAACGAGAGAUAAUUUUGAUUCAAACGUAGUUGUGAUUUGUAUUCUAUAUAUAAUAUAUAAUAUAUAUAUAUAUAUUAUAUUAUGUUUAGUUGCAUAUAUUUUAAAUUAUAAUUAUAUUUUUUAUGUCUAUGAGUGUUGCAUCUUAAAUCUCCUAUUAAUAAUAGGCUAAUAGCUUUCCUAAGUGUUAUCUCCAAAUCUAACUUAUGAGGAGUUGGUUUUUAAAGAUAAAAUUUUCAUGGAUCAAGUCCUCUUUAACAAAUUUUCUUUUUCACUUGUCCAAAGCUUAAAGUAAUCACGAUGCUUUCUAUUUUAGAAUUAGUCAAUAAUAUUAUACUAUGGAUAUUCUCAAUGACGAAAAGGAUCCACGGAACUUUAGAAUAAUUGGAUAAGGUAACUGGAUGCGGUGAAAAUCUCACAACAAAGAAUAGUAAUUCUUUGAUCCAAACUCUAUCUAUACCUUAAUUCCCCAAUCAACAUAUUCAUUGAACAACUCUUACGAUAACACUAUUCCAAAGUAAAAUAUAUGUAUAGAGAAAAUCUCACACGCAAAGUCUCUAUUGGCAAUCACUAUAUCCUUCAAGAAGAAGUAUUCUAUGAUAUUUUUUUUUGUAAAUACCAUAAUGUUUGGAACCAAAUUAAUAUUAUGAUUACCAUGAAAAUCAAUGAUAGUUAGUCUACUUGCUAGUAAACCUCCUAAAUACUCAAUUUUUAGAUCCGCCGUAAAACCGCCAUUCACAUUUCUCAAAACAAUGGCGACUGGUGAAAGAACUAUUUCUUUAGUAGUUUUAUUAAUUUUUUAGUCUCAUUUUAUCACAUGCAAUUUAGAGCCAAAAUUAGCAAUUUCAUCCACAAUAGGCUACUAAUCACCACUCGUAUAGGCACAUUGAGUAAAAACUGUAUCAUUUUGAAUACCCUUAAUUUUUAAAAUAUAUGCAUAGGUUUAUAAUGAUAUGAUUAAUCCACUAUUUGUAUCCCCUAGCUUAUAGCAUUGAUACCCAACCUGUUUAAUUUGCACACCAGCUAAUCUAAUGCCCGCAACUCAUCCACUAUCCACAAUUAGCCCACAACUAGAAAAAACCCUGAAUCAAAUAACGAUAAACCCAAUUAAAUAUUAUAAUUUUUAGAGGCUUGACAAACGAGACAAAAGAAGAAUUAAGGUAAUCAAGCAAACGUCAAUCUCUUUCUCUCACCCCACCCCACCCCACCCCCCCCCAAAAAAGUAAUGAUAACUAAAAGGACCUUGGACAAUCAGGUCAAUCCUCUCAUUUUUCAUUUAAGUAUAAAAUCAGAUAAUGAAUUCUUUUUUUUACUUUUUUGGAGGGAGGUGGGUCCCAUUGUGAUGAACAGCAGUCAUUACACAAUAGAAACACAAUUAAAAUUUUUUUGUAGAGCGGAUGAAAUACGUUGUCCAUUUGAAAAUAAAAAAUAUUUGCCAUGAGAUUAAGUCUGAGUCGGGAGGCCACCCUUUUGUCCUUUAAUAAAACAUCUAAAAAGUUUGCAAAUAGUCAAAUGGUCUGCAGACAGAAUACAUGUAAAAUUUAUAUAUUCCACUCUAUAGCCUCUUAAAACCUAACAAUCUCAAUAGGCAUCAUUUGGUUUUAGAAAUUCUUCAUUUUGCAUCUAAUCAAACUUCAAAUUAUGCUAAUUUUUCAUGUU
rnacentral:lncRNA from 1 species